ACCCCGGUAUUAUUGCUGUUAUGGGUUUGAUCCGAGCUUAGCCUUGUUCAUUUUUUUACACAACACCCCCGUAAAAAAUACAACACGGCCUGCUCAAGCCUGCGGGUGGCGCGUCCUUCACGGAUAAAAAAAUGCCCCAAAGUGCCCCAUAAAUGCCCUCGUGGCGCUUUUUCAGGGCAG
rfam:Pseudomonas fluorescens Pf0-1, complete genome.